rnacentral:tRNA from 2 species
GGGUCUGUAGCUCAGCUGGUUAGAGCACCGUCUUGAUAAGGCGGGGUCGUUGGUUCGAGCCCAACUAGACCCACCA